AGGGAAUAUUGGACAAUGGAGGCAACUCUGAUCCAGCCAUGCCGCGUGGUAGAUGAAGGCCCUCUGGGUUGUAAAUACCUUUUAUCUGGGAAGAAACCUUUCCUUUUUAGGAAAGCUGACGGUACCAGAGGAAUAAGCACCGGCUAACUCCGUGCCAGCAGUCGCGGUAAUACGGAGGGUGCAAGCGUUAUCCGGAUUCACUGGGUUUAAAGGGUGCGUAGGCGGGCUGAUAAGUUAGUGGUGAAAGCCUCGAGCUUAACUUGAGAACUGCCAUUGAUACUGUUAGUCUUGAAUACGGUCAAGGUAAGCGGAAUGUUGCAUGUAGCGGUGAAAUGCUUAGAUAUGUUACAGAACACCAAUUGCGAAGGCAGCUUACUGGGCCGUUAUUGACGCUGAGGCACGAAAGCGUGGGGAGCAAAC
rnacentral:rRNA from 1 species